GAUUUCCAGCUGCAAUUGGCUUCGUUUCGUGUCGCUCGUUGUGACCCGUGAGACAACUUUGUUACAUCGCUAGGGUUUCGCCAUAUCCGCCAAUUUCCCACCUCCAUUCUCGUCUUCUUCUUCUUCUUCUUCUUCUUCUCCUCCUCCACGCAUUUUUUUUUGGUGUGUAUAGAACAGAUAUCGCAAUGUCGUGGGAGGCCAUGCUGCCCAUGGGCAUCAUCUCCGCCAUGAUUUUUGUCAUGGGGACGUCUCAGUACGUGGUUCACACGUCCAUCUACGGCAAGCCAAAGCAUCCCAGACAUGAUGCAUGGGACCGGGCGAUGGACGAAAGAGAUGCUCGAUUGAAAGAGGAGUACGAAAAAUCUCAGAAGUAGCCACUUUUUCAGCUUGUGUGAGAGGCAUUCGGCGAGUUACGAUGCAAAGCUUAUUGCACAUUGUAUGCUUCAGCAGCUUGACGAGCUUCUGCAUUGUGUUGCAUUGGGAACUUUGCAUGCAUGCUGAGUAGUUACUUUUGACACGAUACAUCCUUGCCUCAAGGUUUUCAUCACGUUUUCCUGUCUGGUGCUCGAAGGAGUUCAAUGGGUUGAAAGAAAUAAUGUAUUGAUAUUGUUAGGCUUC